rnacentral:rRNA from 1 species
UCCAGACUCCUACGGGAGGCAGCAGUGGGGAAUAUUGCACAAUGGGCGAAAGCCUGAUGCAGCGACGCCGCGUGAAGGAUGAAGUAUUUCGGUACGUAAACUUCUAUCAGCAGGGAAGAAAAUGACGGUACCUGACUAAGAAGCCCCGGCUAACUACGUGCCAGCAGCCGCGGUAAUACGUAGGGGGCAAGCGUUAUCCGGAUUUACUGGGUGUAAAGGGAGCGUAGACGGGCCAGCAAGUCUGAUGUGAAAACCCGGGGCCCAACCCCGGGAGUGCAUUGGAAACUGCGGGCCUGGAGUGCCGGAGAGGUAAGCGGAAUUCCUAGUGCAGCGGUGAAAUGCGUAGAUAUUAGGAGGAACACCAGUGGCGAAGGCGGCUUACUGGACGGUAACUGACGUUGAGGCUCGAAAGCGUGGGGAGCAAACAGGAUUAGAUACCCCCGUA